rnacentral:rRNA from 1 species
AAGCUCGUAGUUGAACCUUGGACCUGGCUGAUCUGUCCUCCUAAUCGAGCGUACGGAUUCGGUCGGGUCUUUCCUUCUGGGGAACCCUAUGUCCUUCAUUGGGUGUAGUGGGGAACCGGGACUUUUACCUUGAAAAAAUUAGAGUGUUCAAAGCAGGCCUUUGCUCGAAUACAUUAGCAUGGAAUAAUAGAAUAGGACAUCGGUUCUAUUUUGUUGGUUUCUAGGACCGCUGUAAUGAUUAAUAGGGAUAGUCGGGGGCGUCCGUAUUCAAUUGUCAGAGGUGAAAUUCUUGGGUUUAUUGAAGACGAACUACUGCGAAAGCAUUCGCCAAGGAUGUUUUCAUUAAUCAGUGAACGAAAGUUAGGGGAUCGAAGACGAUCAGAUACCGUCGUAGUCUUAACCAUAAACUAUGCCGACUAGGGAUCGGACGGUGGUUUUUUUAUGCCCCGUUCGGCACC